rnacentral:rRNA from 1 species
UACGGAGGGUGCGAGCGUUAAUCGGAAUUACUGGGCGUAAAGCGCACGCAGGCGGUUUGUUAAGCUAGAUGUGAAAGCCCCGGGCUCAACCUGGGAUGGUCAUUUAGAACUGGCAGACUAGAGUCUUGGAGAGGGGAGUGGAAUUCCAGGUGUAGCGGUGAAAUGCGUAGAUAUCUGGAGGUACAUCAGUGGCGAAGGCGACUCCCUGGCCAAAGACUGACGCUCAUGUGCGAAAGUGUGGGUAGCGAACAGC